CCACCCUUUAAUGAGAUUAGAUUAGUGAAAUUUUUAUAUUAUUAAUUCAUAAAAAGUAAACGGAAAUUAAAAAAUGUUAAUAUACCAUAUACGUUUUGGUCGUCGUAGGUUCGGAAAAAAAAUAAAAAAAAAUCGGCCCAUCAUGUAGAAACCCUAAUUUGUGUAUUAAUUAACAAAAACAAAAGCCCGUCUAAAAUAUACCGCCUUACUUGAAACCCUAAAACCAUCUAUUGUAAUUUUCUAUAAAUAUUAUCGAAACCCUAACAAAAUAGGUUUCAUAAUUGUCGGCUGCAAGCUCCAUACAUAAUGGCGAUGGCACCGCGGCGGAGAUUAUCUCAAUUAUAAUAGUUUAGGUUCACGAUGGAUAGGACAUCGGAUUCACUACGUUUAGGUUAAAAGAGAAAAAUAUCUCCGCUACCAUCGCCAAAGAAAAUAGUGAUGUCUAUCUACGUUUAUCAUCGAAGACUUUUCCAGUAGUUUGACAUGGCGAUUGUCGAUAAAGAAGAACCAUCCCUGACGAUGGUAUCAAACUUUCUCCGGUUUUUUGGUUCAUGUUGGUAUAGUUCUGUCCGUCAUACAGAGGAAAACUUGGUUUUGUCUCUGAAUUUCAGCAAGAACAGAAACGAGAUCGGAUUUAAGGAGAUGAGAAACGUUAAAAUCAAUGAAUCGAUCAGGUCAGACUAAGUUGGUUUGGAGACGCUUGAGCUCUUUGGCAGCGAUUAGACCUUCUUUUCUCAUUUCUUUCUUCCGUCUCCAUAUCGAUAGGCUUUGGCUUAAAGCAGCUCUUGAUUGGUACGUAUGCGUCGAAACAACACUAAUUUAUCUGUUUCUUGAACCAAUUUGGCUAAGAAGAUAAAGAACGCAGCUUUGAUGAAUCAAAUAGUAGUGUCUUCGAAGUUACACAUAUUUCUCUCAAGAUAUUUGUUUGCACUUACAAUAAAGUGGGUUAAAUUUUCAUAGGUUGUAGAAGAAGGAAGCAACGGGAAACCCAAAAAAAAAGCUUCUUUGAUUUCCUCUUAUAUUGGUUGCUUCUUUCCGGUGGUUUUGUCUAUGGACAUUAGUUUUUCUGUUUUCCUAGGUUUGUGUCGAUCUCAAAAUGCAGGAUUGAUAAACCUGAGUGUUCCUGUUUUUAAUUAAAAAGGUAUAUGUUUUUGCAAAUCUCUUUAUUAGUGGAGUCGAGACAUGUCAUGUGAUAGUAUUAAUUAGUUAGAUGUAUCUUAUAAUUGCUUAGAGUAAGCUUAUUUUUUUUUGAGCUUUUAGGUAUGAAUAAAUUGUAGGCUGAAGUUCUGCUAGGAACUCAUUCAACGUGUAUGUCAAUUAUGGUCAAUUCCGUAAGGAUUCGAAAAAACGUAUGUUUUUACCAUCCAAUGAUGUUGCUGUAUUUAGUUUACAAUCUUCCAAACAGACUUAAUCAUGGCUUCUUUUGAGAAUAUAAUCUGUGAAGCUUGGACACAGAGAGUUCAAUCAAGUAGAUGAGCCCAUUCCUCUCAUACGAAGAUGCCUAGGCGAUGAUUGUUGUUCUUCUCUGGGAUGUAAAUGAUAUAGAACUAUUGUAAUGGAAUGGAUUUCAUCAAUCAUCAUUGUUUAAAAAUAUUUGGGUCUUUGUUACCUUCGUUAUGAGAGUCUGCUUUUGUUAAUCGUUGUUAUGUUAUAAUUGAAAACUUUUGAUUUUUCAUAUUUCUAAUACAUGUGUAUGUAGAGAAUAUCAGUCCAUAUCAGCAAGAUAGGAAUUCUCUGGAAAUGAAGUCGUAAGGUGGAUAGAAAAAUAAAGUCCAUAAUCUUAUGUAUUACAAAGGUCUUGUGAUCCUUGAAGCUAACUUGGUGGAUAUGAGGCCAUGAGGGAGCUUUGUAAAUAAAGCAAUAUGCGAGUUGAGGUCAAGGGUCAAGUUAAAGUUUAUAGGGUUAGAGCAUAGUGGUGUAUGAUGCUUAUGUAUUGGAAGUAAGUGACAUGACCGAGUUGUAAAUACCAUGUGAUUUGAAUUCGUGUUCUAUUCCCUCACUGAAUAUGAAGGGCAUUCUUAUGUGUAUGUCAAGGAAGUAAGGGUAAAACUACCAAGAAAGACAUAUGAGCAAAAUGUGUCACUUCAGAUUUAUGAUGGAUGUAGGGGUGGAUAAGGUGAAGAGUUAAAUAUUAGUGUUUUAAAGUUUUUACCUAGAUGGAGCUUUAGACAUGGUUGAGGACACAGACCUAGAUGGAUCUUUAAUAAACUUUAAUUCUCUUUAGUUUUUGCUUGAUUGGUUUCAUUUGCCCAGUUUACGAAGGAUUAUCCUUCUUUGAUGAUCCUCUAUUUCGUUGUAAAUUUCUCAUUCUCAAU